UACGAAGGGGGCUAGCGUUGUUCGGAAUUACUGGGCGUAAAGGGCGCGUAGGCGGUGUGUCAAGUCAGGCGUGAAAGCCCCGGGCUCAACCUGGGAACCGCGCUUGAGACUGGCACGCUCGAGUUCGGGAGAGGAUGGUGGAAUUCCCAGUGUAGAGGUGAAAUUCGUAGAUAUUGGGAAGAACACCGAUGGCGAAGGCAAUCCCCUGGGCCUGUACUGACGCUCAUGCACGAAAGCGUGGGGAGCAAACAGG
rnacentral:rRNA from 1 species